GUAAGAAAUCAAAUGUACUGGGGGCCUGCAUGCCGUAACGUGCAGAAAGCCGGGAGUCGGCAGACCGCCGCACGGCGCGGUUAACUCUCCCGCUGCGGGAGCGCCGCGUGGAGCAGCAGAGCGCCGAGCGCCAUCCGCGGGACUGCGGCGCCGCCUGGAGCACACCCGGGGCCGCGCCGCCCCCGCUUCUCUCGGAGCCCGGGGGUGGUGGGUAAGGGACCGAUGGCUGCUCUGUUCAUUUUUACUCCCAUCCACAAGCCCAAGGGACUCCCUCAUUAGAAAGCCACAUGCUGUCCAAGUACAGGAAUGAAAGCUGCCAGUACAGAACUGGGAGGUCAGCAAUUCUGCCAAUGAGCUCAUCAGGGUCAGCGUGGAUUCUUCAUACACCCCAGCAGGUGAUACUAUUAAGAUCAUGCUUGCUCUUGUGGUAACCAUCUUCCAGUUCAGGUCUGUUCUGGAAGCACUGAAGGAGUUAAAAGAAUUUUAUUCCAAGGUAAAAUGUAAGGAAUUCUACUUACCUGUAACCUCAUUCAUGUCCAUCAGACUAUCUAAGUAAAAAAAAUUUUCACAUGUUCAGGUAGCACAUUAUGAGUUUCAAAUAACAGCAUGAAAUUGAGACAUUUUCAGCAGUGUGCCAGGAUCUGUUUGCAGAUACUGUAAAGUACUCUGUGGCUUGGGUCUCAGAGGAGAUAUCGGUUUCAAAACUGCAAGAUACAAGAUAAUGACAUUGUGCAAAAAGAAGCAAAGGAGCUGCAAGAGGCUAGAAAUGGUAACACACUAUUGUGUUAAUUCAGCUGUGGAGGAAUUUUACUUUCAUU
ensembl:lncRNA